rnacentral:rRNA from 1 species
GACGAACGCUGGCGGCGUGCCUAAUACAUGCAAGUCGAGCGGACGGAUGGGAGCUUGCUCCCUGAAGUCAGCGGCGGACGGGUGAGUAACACGUGGGCAACCUGCCCCUAAGAUCGGGAUAACUUCGGGAAACCGGAGCUAAUACCGGAUAUGAUCAUCCCUCACAUGAGGGAUGAUGGAAAGCCGGUUUCGGCUGUCACUUAGGGAUGGGCCCGCGGCGCAUUAGCUAGUUGGUGCGGUAACGGAUCACCAAGGCGACGAUGCGUAGCCGACCUGGGAGGGUGAUCGGCCACACUGGGACUGAGACACGGCCCAGACUCCUACGGGAGGCAGCAGUAGGGAAUCUUCCACAAUGGACGAAAGUCUGACGGAGCAACGCCGCGUGAGUGGAGAAGGUUUUCGGAUCGUAAAACUCUGUUGUCAGGGAAGAACAAGUACUAGAGUAACUGCUGGUACCUUGACGGUACCUAACCAGAAAGCAACGGCUAACUACGUGCCAGCAGCCGCCGUAAAAC